rnacentral:rRNA from 1 species
UACGUAGGGGGCGAGCGUUAUCCGGAAUUACUGGGCGUAAAGCGUGCGUAGGCGGUCAUGCAAGCUUGGGGUUUAAAGCUGCGGCUUAACCGCAGUGCGCCCUUAGAACUGUAUGGCUUGAGUGCAGGAGAGGAGAGUGGAAUUCCUAGUGUAGCGGUGAAAUGCGUAGAGAUUAGGAGGAACACCAGUGGCGAAGGCGACUCUCUGGACUGUAACUGACGCUGAGGCACGAAAGCGUGGGGAGCAAACAGG